rnacentral:rRNA from 1 species
AACGAACGCUGGCGGCAUGCCUAACACAUGCAAGUCGAACGAUCCCUUCGGGGUUAGUUGCGCAGGUGUGCGUAACGCGUGGGAACCUGCCCUUAGGUUCCGUAUAACUCAGAGUGAUUUAAGCUAAUACCGGAUAAUGUCUUCGCGCCAAGGAUUUAUCGCCUUUGGAUGGGCCCGCGUUGGUUUCGCUGGUUGGUGGGGUACAGGCCUGCCAACGCGACGUUCCAUGGCUGGUCUGUUAGGAUGAUCAGCCAGACUGGCAAUGAGACACGGCCCAGACUCGUACGGAAGGCAGGAGUAGAGAAUAUUGGGGAAGGGGCGAAAGCCUGAUCAAGCAAUGCCGCGUGAGUGAUGAAGGCCUUAGUGUUGUAAAGCUCUUUGACCCGGGAUGAUAAUGACGGUACCGGGAGAAUAAGCCCCGGCUAACUACGUG